UAUCUUCCUUAUCCAGGUAUUUUCUCCAGCUCUUGAAUGGAGGAAAAAAAAUGUUCUUGCUGCAUUUAAAAAAGAUAAAACACUGACAGAGCACAUGCAGGAGAAUGAAUACAUACAAAUGCAGGAACGGAGACGGAGCAAUACUCUAUUGGACUAAGAAGCUUUUGGAUUCCGUUUUCCUUAAUCUCAACUUUGUCUAAUCAGCUUCUGUAUUAUUUUAUAAAACUUGAAGGCUCUCCUAGCAUUAAUUUAACUGUAUUGAAAUCUUUACCAAAAUUUCUGUUGGAUUAAACACAGCCAGUUUUCACUCCUUCUGAUUGUGCAGAUGAAGCUUGUUUUCCUUCAUCAUUAACACUGGAGCUAUUUUUGUCCGUGCCGAAAAGCAGCUGGAACUAUUGCCACUUUCUGGUGACAGAAAUAUUGGCAGUAUGGUCUACAUAAUGAAUGUGCGGGGAAAAAAAGUUCCAGAGUAAAACCACUGAAGUAUAGUAAAAGAUAGAUUAAUCCUUUAACUUUAGUGGUCUUCUUGUGGGUAUAUGGCAUGUGCUGAUCUUCACAUCACAUCUCCAAGUUUAAAGAACAGAGUUAAAAGCUCUGGGAGUUUAAAAACAGACAACGCAUCUAUCAGAAACCAGCUCAUCGUGAGCAUCGUGUACUGAUGUGAGCCUGUGCCGGCUCUGAAGCAUUAUCUGUAAAGUGGUUUAGUUGUUUUUCUUCUCAAAUUUUGUCUUUCACAGUAGCACUAUCCUUCAAUCACUCUAUGUGGGGGAAGUAUCAGAGUUAGAGAAACGUAAUUUUGUCAGCUUGAGUUCUGCAUUACAAAUUUACUUCACAGAUCUUAACCACAUCUGAGAAACAUCUCUGUAGGUUGCUGCAUUAAAGAGUUGUUUUUGUCAAAGUGAAAAUCAAGCGUUCCCACUUCUCUGGAAUGCCUCAUUGGAUUUUAUAAUGUAAUUUAUAUGAUGAAAACAUCUCUUCAGCUGCUAAAAUGGCUAAAUUAAACAAAUUGGGAGGGGGGAGGCACUUAGAAGCACCACCUGAAGGCUGUACUGUUGUCUGCAGACUGGUGUGAUGAAAGCUGUAUAUAAGCAUUCAUAUCUAAUUGAAAGGGGAAGGAUUUCUUAAUACAGAUGAAAAGAAUUUUCUUAGGACCUCUCAGAGGAUGAGGUUGAGUUUGGUUAUGUGUCGGCUUGUACAGCAUGUAAGCUUGCUUUGUGUGCUGUUUCGUUUCAGAUGGUGAGAGCUUAUCUGCCUUUUGUGAUGUUUUCUGAACCUUCCCAGACUUGAAUAAUUUCUGAGAAACGUAUCCUCCUGUGUAUCUGUGACAGAUCUCUAGCAAGCUCUUCGCUGCCUGCUUCUGACUAGGCCUUUUCUGUAGGCCGCUGCCCGGCCCCGUGCCCAGCCCCUUUCCUGUAUUAAAACCUAGGUCUUGCUAAGACGGUCUACAGUAACCUGAAUGUUUGAACCGUGCAUAGAUUCCCCCGCUAUUAUUUCUGUAUUCAAAUUACCCAUACUAUUGCAUUUUAAUGGGCCAAUAUCUACUUUAGACGUGAGCUGUCACUGGUGACAGAGGUGUUCGGGAGGUGCGUAGCCCUCCAGUUCACAUGCUGUGGAGGUCUGCAGCUCAGCCUGGUCCUCCUGGCAGAUGGGAGGCCUCCCAGAAGUUCUCAUCCUUCAGCAGGUCCUGGGUGUGCAACCAGGAGGCAUUGCAGAGAAAGACGUUGAGGAGAACGAGCCUGUGUUGCGUGAGAUAGCUGCAGGAAAUUCCUGGCAUGGGAAUCACUUGGAUCCUUUUUGUCAAGAGAGGAGAGAGGAUUUGUACCCAUGCUUAAUGUACACUGAAAUAAGUCAAUUUGUUGCA